rnacentral:rRNA from 1 species
UGCUGGAGGUAUCAGAAGUGCGAAUGCUGACAUAAGUAACGAUAAAGCGGGUGAAAAGCCCGCUCGCCGGAAGACCAAGGGUUCCUGUCCAACGUUAAUCGGGGCAGGGUGAGUCGACCCCUAAGGCGAGGCCGAAAGGCGUAGUCGAUGGGAAACAGGUUAAUAUUCCUGUACUUGGUGUUACUGCGAAGGGGGGACGGAGAAGGCUAUGUUAGCCGGGCGACGGUUGUCCCGGUUUAAGCAUGUAGGCUGGUUGUCCAGGCAAAUCCGGAUAAUCAAGGCUGAGGUGUGAUGACGAGGUACUACGGUGCUGAAGUAACAAAUGCCCUGCUUCCAGGAAAAGCCUCUAAGCAUCAGGUAACAUCAAAUCGUACCCCAAACCGACACAGGUGGUCAGGUAGAGAAUACCAAGGCGCUUGAGAGAACUCGGGUGAAGGAACUAGGCAAAAUGGUGCCGUAACUUCGGGAGAAGGCACGCUGGUGUGUAGGUGAAGUCCCUGCGGAUGGAGCUGAGACCAGUCGAAGAUACCAGCUGGCUGCAACUGUUUAUUAAAAACACAGCACUGUGCAAACACGAAAGUGGACGUAUACGGUGUGACGCCUGCCCGGUGCCGGAAGGUUAAUUGAUGGGGUUAUCCGUAAGGAGAAGCUCUUGAUCGAAGCCCCGGUAAACGGCGGCCGUAACUAUAACGGUCCUAAGGUAGCGAAAUUCCUUGUCGGGUAAGUUCCGACCUGCACGAAUGGCGUAAUGAUGGCCAGGCUGUCUCCACCCGAGACUCAGUGAAAUUGAACUCGCUGUGAAGAUGCAGUGUACCCGCGGCAAGACGGAAAGACCCCGUGAACCUUUACUAUAGCUUGACACUGAACAUUGAGCCUUGAUGUGUAGGAUAGGUGGGAGGCUUUGAAGCGUGGACGCCAGUCUGCGUGGAGCCAACCUUGAAAUACCACCCUUUAAUGUUUGAUGUUCUAACGUUGGCCCCUGACCGGGGUUGCGGACAGUGUCUGGUGGGUAGUUUGACUGGGGCGGUCUCCUCCCAAAGCGUAACGGAGGAGCACGAAGGUUAGCUAAUCCUGGUCGGACAUCAGGAGGUUAGUGCAAUGGCAUAAGCUAGCUUGACUGCGAGCGUGACGGCGCGAGCAGGUGCGAAAGCAGGUCAUAGUGAUCCGGUGGUUCUGAAUGGAAGGGCCAUCGCUCAACGGAUAAAAGGUACUCCGGGGAUAACAGGCUGAUACCGCCCAAGAGUUCAUAUCGACGGCGGUGUUUGGCACCUCGAUGUCGGCUCAUCACAUCCUGGGGCUGAAGUAGGUCCCAAGGGUAUGGCUGUUCGCCAUUUAAAGUGGUACGCGAGCUGGGUUUAGAACGUCGUGAGACAGUUCGGUCCCUAUCUGCCGUGGGCGCUGGAGAAUUGAGGGGGGCUGCUCCUAGUACGAGAGGACCGGAGUGGACGCAUCACUGGUGUUCGGGUUGUCAUGCCAAUGGCACUGCCCGGUAGCUAAAUGCGGAAGAGAUAAGUGCUGAAAGCAUCUAAGCACGAAACUUGCCCCGAGAUGAGUUCUCCCUGAGACUUUAAGUCUCCUGAAGGAACGUUGAAGACGACGACGUUGAUAGGCCGGGUGUGUAAGCGCAGCGAUGCGUUGAGCUAACCGGUACUAAUGAACCGUGAGGCUUACCUUUACAACGCCGAAG